rnacentral:rRNA from 1 species
GACGAACGCUGGCGGCGUGCUUAACACAUGCAAGUCGAACGGAAAGGCCCUGCUUGCAGGGUCCUCGAGUGGCGAACGGGUGAGUAACACGUGGGUGAUCUGCCCUGCACUUCGGGAUAAGCCUGGGAAACUGGGUCUAAUACCGGAUAGGAGCCAUUUUUAGUGUGAUGGUUGGAAAGUUUUUUCGGUGUAGUAUGAGCUCGCGGCCUAUCAGCUUGUUGGUGGGGUAAUGGCCUACCAAGGCGGCGACGGGUAGCCGGCCUGAGAGGGUGGACGGCCACAGUGGGACUGAGAUACGGCCCAGACUCCUACGGGAGGCAGCAGUGGGGAAGAUUGAACAAGGGGCGCAAGCCUGAUGCAGCGACGCCGCGUGGGGGAUGACGGCCUUCGGGUUGUAAACGCCUUUCGCUAGGGACGAAGCUUUUUGUGACGGUACCUAGAGAAGAAGCACCGGCUAACUACGUG